GGCUCUUUAUUGAGUCUUCGGGGCGUACAGGCGAGGGAACAGUGAGAACAGGGGAGGGAGAGAGGGCAUUGCCUUCGCCUGGUUUGGAGGCAAAGGGGAGGAGUGAGAGAGUCUUGGAGGGGGUGGUUCCAGGUGUGGAGGCGAUGAAAAUGGAGUCUGGAAGGUGAGAUUUCAUGUGGGAGAAGAGAGGAGAAGCAGUGGAGGGAGAUGGGGACAAGGGAACCGUUGGAAGGUGGGGUUUGUAGUCGCUCUCCCCGGAAGAGAACGAGACGGUCUUCCUUUGCUUCUUGAGAGGAGGCACAAUAACAAUUGGGGAGGAGGGGCGGGGGGCUGGAGGACGAGCGUUUGAGCUGAGUGUUGAUGAAUCCUUCUUGCUGGCAGCAAUUUCUGAGAUAUGGGCACAUAUUUGAAUUAUGAAUCAGGUGAAAAACAACAUUGGCACUUGCCAUGGAAAUGAACAUCCGUAACAGAGAAACUAAAUGUGUGACUAACCAGCUUUGAUCUCGGCGCUGAGUGGUGCUUUUGGAACAGCAGCUGCAGACUUUUCUCUGGAGUGCACAACAAGUGGAAUGGUCAGUAUCAACCCAGACACACAUUAAGCAACAAAUCAAGUUUCAAUAAAGACACUUCCAUAGGAAAUAUAUAGAAAACAUUUUGGAUACUUAUAUACAGGUAUAUUCAAAAUCAGGAACACUGUUCAAAACGUACCGGUCAUCCCCCUUCUCUGUGUCCAGAGCUGUGCUGUCCAUCGUAGACUCAUCCAUGGUGUCCAGUCCACUGCCGGCCUGCUCUCCUUCCUCCUCAUCUUCAGAGGAAGAGGAUGAUGAUGAUGUUGAGGAGGAAGAACUCUCUGUGGAUGAGGAGAGGCUCUCAUCGCUGUCUGCACUCAAGGCCUCAUCUGAAGAAAGAAGUGAGAGGAAGUGAGAGAUGAUAAGAUGGCAUGAUGGAAAAGAGAGGAACAGAAGGACACAGUUUGUGAUAAUAUACAAGUGUCUCAGGUUCAAUCCAAGUCAAUGAAGCCAAAGUACAGCAGAGUAUGAAGAGACAUACAGUGAAAUGCUGCCAUCUAGCCAGCACUAUGGGGAAAUACAACAACACUGCCAACACCUUAUCUGAAGAAGAACCGUCAGAAGUCUCUUCUCCUUCGCUGUCCAGGUCCCAAGGUUUCCGACUUCUCGUCUUCUUCUUCUUCCUCCGCCUGCUGUUCCUCUCAGCCCUGUGGCCCUCCCCAUCUGCCAUUCUUCCCUCUAGACCCUUGUCAUGGUACGAGUCUGGGGGGAGAAGGAGAGAGAUGGUGAGCCAACAUAGGAAACACAAAGACGGUCGGUGACAAAUCCCCAAAGGGAUUCCCAAAGGAGGGGGUCAUUGAUGAAAAGCUCACCUUCGUCGUCAUCCUCUGGCGGUGUCUUGGGUCUCUUCAUCUCUCCUACCUCUGCUAGCUCCAGAGGUUCUUUCCUCUUCACCUGGACACAAUACACACAGUUAAUAUCAUGAUAAGUUAUUGUGGAAAAAAUCCCUCAGUGAAUGGAUGGAUACAUUGGAGUAAUGUCUAUACAUGAACAUGUAUUAGUGUAAUGUCUAUACAUGUAUUAGUGUAAUGUCUAUACAUGUAUUAGUGUAAUGUCUAUACAUGUAUUAGUGUAAUGUCUAUACAUGUAUUAGUGUAAUGUCUAUACAUGUAUUAGUGUAAUGUCUAUACAUGUAUUAGUGUAAUGUCUAUACAUGUAUUAGUGUAAUGUCUAUACAUGUAUUAGUGUAAUGUCUAUACAUGUAUUAGUGUAAUGUCUAUACAUGUAUUAGUGUAAUGUCUAUACAUGUAUUAGUGUAAUGUCUAUACAUGUAUUAGUGUAAUGUCUAUACAUGUAUUAGUGUAAUGUCUAUACAUGUAUUAGUGUAAUGUCUAUACAUGUAUUAGUGUAAUGUCUAUACAUGUACAUGUAUUAGUGUAAUAUCUAUACAUGAACAUGUAUUUGUGUAAUAUCUAUACAUGAACAUGUAUUUGUGUAAUAUCUAUACAUGAACAUGUAUUUGUGUAAUAUCUAUACAUGAACAUGUAUUAGUGCAUGGGUGUCAAACUCUGGCCCGCGGGCCCUACUCUGGCCCUACUAGAGCUGGCCCACCGGUAUUAUACAGCGCAUUCACCGCUGAUACUACGAAUCCCAUAAUGCUCUGCUGUUGUUUUCGCGCGCCAAUCAGGACAGGACCCAGAAACGCCCUCUCCUCUGUGACAGAAGUCAUAGCAACAUAGACGCUACAACUGUCAGCGCGCUAUCCCUUCCCAAAAAUCGCGAAAAGAAAGGCAGAAAACAGGAGCUUUCUGGACAAGUGGGAGGCAGAAUAUCUGUUUACAUAUGUAAAAGACAAACCUGUUUGUCUUGUUUGUGGAGUCAACGUGGCUGUAAGUAAGGAGUACAACAUUAGACGACACUAUGAAACGAAACACCAUGACAAAUACAAGGACCUGGACGUGACUCAAAGGAGCCAGAAAGUAGAGGAGAUGAAAAGAAGUUUGGUUUCACAACAGAAUAUGUUAAAAAAAGCCACAUCACAAAGUGAGGCUGCUGUAAAGGCUAGUUAUAUAGUGGCAGCAGAGAUCGCAAAAUCAGCCCGGCCCUUUAAUGAGGGAGAGUUCGUGAAAAAGUGCAUGAUGAAAGUUUGUGACCUCGUAUGCCCAGAGAAAAAGUAAGCAUUUUCAAACGUGAGCCUGAGCAGGAACACAGUAGAUUUCUUCAGCUCAGAGCCUGAGCCCAGACAUUGAUGAACUAGCAUCCAAGAAGAGAUGCCAGGUAUCUGGCUUGGGCACAUCAGAUUAGAUCAGUGUGCAAUAAUUAACGUUUUCUUUGUGCACUUUUUCUUGCUACAAGGCAUGGGCUUGAAUGGUUGAUUGAUUUAUUAUCAUUUUAUUUGUAAAAUUAUUAGCCAGUGGAAAAAGUUUAUUUUGGUAUUUAAAUCAGAAGGCUGCAAAUAGAAAAGAGGCAUA